CUUUUUUGGUCGAUGAAUCGUUUGAGUUUCUGCCCCAUCAGUUGUCGACGGUAGUGUAUUGGACUACGGUGACUAUAACGGGUGACGGAGAGUUAGGGCUCGACUCCGGAGAGGGAGCCUGAGAGACGGCUACCAUAUCCAAGGAUAGCAGCAGGCGCGUAAAUUACCCACUGUGGACUCCACGAGGUAGUGACGAGAAAUAUCGAUGCGAAGCGUGUAUGCGUUUUGCUAUCGGAAUGAGAGCAAUGUAAAACCCUCAUCGAGGAUCAACUGGAGGGCAAGUCUGGUGCCAGCAGCCGCGGUAAUUCCAGCUCCAGAAGCAUAUGCUAAAGUUGUUGCAGUUAAAAAGCUCGUAGUUGAAUUUCUGGCAUGGGCGACCGGUGCUUUCCCUGAAUGGGGAUUGAUUGUCUGUGUUGCCUUGGCC
rnacentral:rRNA from 1 species